UACGUAGGGGGCAAGCGUUGUCCGGAAUCAUUGGGCGUAAAGAGCGUGUAGGCGGCCCGAUAAGUCCGCUGUGAAAGUCCAGGGCUCAACCCUGGGAUGCCGGUGGAUACUGUCGGGCUCGAGUCCGGAAGAGGAGUGUGGAAUUCCGUGGUGUAGCGGUGAAAUGCGCAAGAUAUCAGGAGGAACACCAAUGGCGAAGGCAGCACUCUGGGACGUGACUGACGCUGAGACGCGAAAGCGUGGGGAGCAAACAGG
rnacentral:rRNA from 1 species